AUGGUCUUAGAUGGCCCCUGUGAAAGGGUCACUGAAUCCCAAAGGGGCUGUGUACACAGGUUGAGAACUGUUGGACUGGGUAAAGCAGAUUGCUGUCCCUCAUGUUGGCAGCUUCAUCACUUCCACUAAAGACCACAGUAGAACAAAAAGUCCAAGUAAAAAUUCAUCCUGCAUGAUUGCUUGAUUAGUGGCAUCAGUCUUUCUCUGCCUUCAGACUCAAGUUGAAAAAUCAGCUUUUUCUGUGUUUUAUUUAGCUGGUUUCUUGACUGAAUUAACGCCACUGGCUCUCGAGAUUCACAGCCCUAUGGGGCCGUAGUAACGGCUCAGAGCACUGCUGUUCUUCCAGAGGACAGGGGUCACCCACAUGGUGCCUCACAACCAUCUGUAACUCCAGCCCCAGGGCAUUUGAUGCCCUCUCUGUUCUCUUCAGGUAUAAGGCACAGACAUACAUGUAGGAAACACCCCCCAACAUACACAGAAAGACUUACACGUCUAAAACGCCAUGGACAAGAUAUGGGAGUGAGUGCACGUCAGUGGAAGAGGACUUGCCCAGUUGUGGGCAGCCUUGGGCUUGAUCUCUAACACUGACAAAGCAGACAAAUCCCUAAACAAAAUCCUUCCACAUUGAAUUCUGACAAAAGGCUGUUACAUAAUGAAUGUUGAUCAAUGUAGUUUACCACACUAAGAUGAAUCUUAACCUGAUAAAACAAUAAACUGAGUGGAAGAUGGGCUGGAAAGGUGGCCCAGAGUUUAAAAGCACAGUCUAUUUUUCCAGAGGACCUGAAUUUUGCUCUUAGCAUCCAUGUUGAAUGUAACUCCAGCUUGAGGAGGCAUCUGCACUGACACUCUCCCCCCCACCACAUUCAUGCACACGAACACCCACACAUGUCCGUGGACGGGGAGAAUGCACACACAGCACAUACACACAAUUCUAAAAAUAAAAUGAAACUUGAAAAAAUGUAAUGGAAGGUAACUUUGUCAAUUUAAUGAAAGACAGUUAUAAAACACAAAUAAAAAUAUUAAUACUAAAGUCAUUCUUGAUGUUGAAAUACUGAAAGUUUUCUCCCAAACUCUGGGAAUGUAGCAAGCUUUUUCUAGGUCAGCAUUUUUAGUCAACCUUGACCUGGAGACCCAUUGGAGGAGAAGAAGGAUGAUGUACAAGUUUAAAUGAAGGAAUAAAACUGACUUGGUUCACAGCUAAAGUUGUUGUUCUCAUAGAAACUCCUGAAGGACCAAGAAAAAGAUCCCUGGACUGAGGACUCCCAAGAUAUAAUGUUAGUACAAUGUCAGUUGGGUUUUAUUCAAUGGUAUGAGCACUAUAAUGAGCAAAGAAGACACAGACAAUGAACUCAAAAUCGCAUGUAAUAACACAGGACAGGAAAUUUUCAUGGAUAAACACGUGUAACGCCUGCAGGUUGAAAAAUACAAAACAACGCUGAGAGAAUGUGAAAGUCUAAAUAAAUGGUGUGAUCAUCAAUGUUGCAGGGAAAAAUUAGACAAGAAUGAAUUUCCAAAAGACAAAGAUAGCAAACAUGGUUUAGAGGAAAAGUUGAAGAAAGUAUCCAUCUUAAGACUUACUAUAAAACCAUAAAAGAAUGACUUGUUCCACCAAAAUACCAACUAACAUGAACAACACAUAGUCUUCCAACGUUUUCAAGGAUGUGGGGGCAUCCUUGUGGGGGUAGCGAGCUCGUUCCCAAAGAUGCCUGGAGCCAGCUCAGGUCUAGAUACAAAUGAACAGAACCUCUAGACCUUGGCAAUGCCAGCUGGUCAAGCUGGUCCUUUCUACCUAAACGCUGCUGAGCUGUGCUCCUCACCCAAACUACAAGUUCAGAGUAAAAAGUCACUGACAGUCAAGCUUGCCUGCAAAGUCACGUGUCUGAUACGUUUUAAAAGAAACAGGAUGUAAAACGUAGAGAGGAACAGACAUGCGGGUUUUGUUGAGAAGGACAAAUGUAAAGAUGAGAUCUAGAUGGCAUCUGAAACAGCAUUCUCCUGAUGACUCAGUAAUGAGGUGCCCAUGCACUAGGGCUUAGAAACUGUUUUUGGUGCUCAGUCAGUGAGACUGUACUUCUAGGCUGAACCCUGCUUGUAACUUAAACCGGUUCUUGUUAGCUGCUCUGAGUCUCCAGGGCUCUUAUUAUGAAGUGAAGAUCAUUGCUUCUCACACCUGCAAGAGCAGUAGUGAAUGAAUGGCUGAGCCACCUCUCCCGCCCCAGUGCCAGCUCAUCCUGAAGGCUCCUCCGUGCACACCAGGUGCGUGCAGCACCCUUAGAAGCUAGAAGAGGGUGUCUGGUCCCCUGGAGCUGGAGGUACAGGCAGUGCUCCUCCACGUGGGUGGAUGAUGGGAACUGAAACUUGAUCCUUUGGAACAGCGGGCAAUGCUCUUCACUGCUGAGCCAGCUCUCCCACACUACCCCGCUUCCAGCACAAAUUCUUAUUUAUCCUUAAAACCGUAAUUUACCACAUAAUUUAGACAUUUAUAUACUGCAGUGUGAUGAUUUGCUACAUAUAAACAAUACGAAAGGAUCGAAUCAGGAAAGCUGUCAUUUCCAGCUUCGGAAGUAACUAUCGUUUUUAUAUAGCUGGGGAGACCUAGUCCUACCUGUUCCUUAUAAAAUGAAUAAUAAGUCGUUGCAAACUGUUGCCACCUUACUGUGAAACGGGUGCUUGAACGUAGUCUUCCUCCGUGUGUGUGUGUGUGUGUGUGUGUGUGUGUGUGUGUGUGUGUGUGUGUGUCUGUCUGUCUGUCUGUCUGUCUGUCUGUCUGUCUUGGGAUCUGUCACCGGACUUCCUUCUGUUGUGGCUUGAAUGUGAACUGUCCCAACAGGCUCAUGUGUUUGAUCCCUAGGCAGUGGUGCUUUCUGGGGAGAUCGUGGAACCUUCUGGUAAGAGGCCCUAAUUGGUGGGUGCAGGGCUCUGAAGAGUGCAGCCUGAUGUUUACAGGCUGCCUCUGCUUCUUCCUGAAGCCUGAGGGCUCUGGUUCCUGACCCAUUGGGACAUAAGAGGCCACUUGAUGUGCUAAGGAGGCGGCCCCAGUGGCCAUGCCUUCCCCACCCCACGAACUGUUUCCACAGAGCCGGAACAAAAACAACCUUUCUACUUCUGCUGUAGGUUGUUCCUGUCACUGUUCUGUCUCAUUGAUGAGGGAAGAAACAGAGACCUUGGUGCGGAAUGGCUACUGUUGUGUUCUCUGCUGGUGUCCGGGUAUGACGGAGGAAGCCUGGAGCAAGAUCGCAGUUCACACUAUGCUGGGUAUUUGCAGUUCCCUGGCUGCCUUGCACCCGGGCUGGCCCUCCCAGUUCUUAAGAGCACUCUCCAGUCCUUGUCGGUAAUUGUUUUGGGCCUGGGCAGCAACCUAGCUGGUCUGCUAAUUAAUGAGGCUGCCUGAUUUAUUCGGGCCACUCCAUCUUGAACCAGGUAACUGAAGAACUGUUGAAGAAAAUUGGAGCAGGAUUUAUUUUGACAAUGUUGUCUGAGCUCCUGGAUGUCUGUCUAUCCCUGGGGAGAUACAGGUUGUCCUUCCUGAACCUUGUUUUUCAGGUCCUUUCUAGCCUGUGAUCUGUUCCACAUCUUUCAAGUAAAUUCUUUCUAGAAUUAGUUUCUCCUGGGUUUAAAAAAACACAAGUCAAUAUUAAAACUGGUGAGAUGGC
rnacentral:sRNA from 1 species